UGCAUCUGCAGCUCAUGAGGAUGAGAACCUCCGGGGCAGGGAGGUUCGACUCGAGCGAAGCGAGAGAACGUUGCGCCAGCAACGGC
rnacentral:sRNA from 1 species